UAGGGAAUCUUCGGCAAUGGACGAAAGUCUGACCGAGCAACGCCGCGUGAGUGAAGAAGGUUUUCGGAUCGUAAAACUCUGUUGUUAGAGAAGAACAAGGACGUUAGUAACUGAACGUCCCCUGACGGUAUCUAACCAGAAAGCCACGGCUAACUACGUGCCAGCAGCCGCGGUAAUACGUAGGUGGCAAGCGUUGUCCGGAUUUAUUGGGCGUAAAGCGAGCGCAGGCGGUUUCUUAAGUCUGAUGUGAAAGCCCCCGGCUCAACCGGGGAGGGUCAUUGGAAACUGGGGGACUUGGGUGCAGAAGAGGAGAGUGGAAUUCCAUGUGUGGCGGUGAAAUGCGUAGAUAUAUGGAGGAACACCAGUGGCGAAGGCGGCUCUCUGGUCUGUAACUGACGCUGAGGCUCGAAAGCGUGGGGAGCAAACAGG
rnacentral:rRNA from 1 species